CUGGGCUGCCCUGCACUGCUCUGUUUUAUUUAAGGGAGUCAAGAUGUGGCGUGCUUUAUGGAAACGAUAAACAAUUGGUGCAUGUCGGAAUUUGCUGCGUGCAUGCAGGUCUACGUGCCUCUGGCGCUUGACGAGCUGAGCACGUCACCUGUUUCAGUGGGCCGUUUAGAUUGUGCGCAUGCUAAAUUGUUUUGCACCCGUGCAAACUGAAGAUUGCUGCCCAGUUAUCGCAGUUUUGAGCUCAGAGUGUAUCGGAUAUCAUCAUCUCUAAAUUGAUGUUUUUGUUUUUUCUCCGCAACUGAAUUGAAUUUCAGACCUUCCAAUUUAAUUUGUGAAAGUAUAACUUCAAAAGAUACAUGUAUCUUUCGCCUUGGCGACGUCUACUGUGAAUGUAAUUGAUACAAAUGCAAAAAUCACUAGCUUUUGAGGUGGACAGUGACAUAUUUCUCCAGUUUUCCCGAGCCUGCCACCACAAAACUAUGUUUGGAAAAACAAAAAUAAGGCGUGGAAUGAGUCUCAUAUGGGCAAGGAGCCCUGUUGAAGAGAACGGAUUUCCUCAUAUCAGUUUGAUGUCCAGUCUGGCAUGAACAAACUCCUCACCCUGUUAGCCUUGGAAUCCAAGGCCAACUUCCCUGCUUGAGAUCCACGGGAUGACAUGCUCAACGAGAUGCAUAUGGAGAGUUAUGCUUUCUGUUGGAAGGUUGCCCAGAGAAAAUUCUCAGUGGCACACUGAUCUUCAGCAACAAGAAUUCAAACUGACUUUCUUGCUGAUGUAUUCAGAGGUGAAUGGCCAAAGCUCUUCCAAGGAUAUCAUGC